rnacentral:rRNA from 1 species
AGCUAUGGCCAUACCACCCUGAACGUGCCCGGUCUUGCCUCAUCUCGGAAGCUAAGCAGGGUCGGGCCUGGCUAGUACUUGGUUACAAUUACAACAUUGUAAUUCCAUGAGGGGAAGGAGCUU